UCCAGGACAAAGCAACAAAGACUAUACAGCUCUUCAUGGAGAAGACAGUUCAAGACAAAGCAGCAGAGACAAAGAAGCUGAGGGAGAAGACCGUUCAGGACAAAGCAGCAGAGACAAAGAAGCUGAGGGAGAAGACAGUUCAGGACAAAGCAGCAGAGACAAAGAAGCUGAGGGAGAGGACAGUUCAGGACAAAGCAGCAGAGACAAAGAAGCUGAGGGAGAGGACAGUUCAGGACAAAGCUGCAGAGACAAAGAAGCUGAGGGAGAAGAUAUUUCAGGACAAAGCAGCAGAGACAAAGAAGCUGAGGGAGAGGACAGUUCAGGACAAAGCAGCAGAGACAAAGAAGCUGAGGGAGAAGAUAUAUCAGGACAAAGCAGCAGAGACAAAGAAGCUGAGGGAGAAGACAGUUCAGGACAAAGCAGCAGAGACAAAGAAGCUGAGGGAGAGGACAGUUCAGGACAAAGCAGCAGAGACAAAGAAGCUGAGGGAGAAGAUAUAUCAGGACAAAGCAGCAGAGACAAAGAAGCUGAGGGAGAAGAUAUAUCAGGACAAAGCAGCAGAGACAAAGAAGCUGAGGGAGAGGACAGUUCAGGACAAAGCAGCAGAGACAAAGAAGCUGAGGGAGAGGACAGUUCAGGACAAAGCUGCAGAGACAAAGAAGCUGAGGGAGAAGAUAUUUCAGGACAAAGCAGCAGAGACAAAGAAGCUGAGGGAGAAGAUAUAUCAGGACAAAGCAGCAGAGACAAAGAAGCUGAGGGAGAGGACAGUUCAGGACAAAGCAGCAGAGACAAAGAAGCUGAGGGAGAGGACAGUUCAGGACAAAGCUGCAGAGACAAAGAAGCUGAGGGAGAAGAUAUAUCAGGACAAAGCAGCAGAGACAAAGAAGCUGAGGGAGAAGAUAUAUCAGGACAAAGCAGCAGAGACAAAGAAGCUGAGGGAGAGGACAGUUCAGGACAAAGCAGCAGAGACAAAGAAGCUGAGGGAGAGGACAGUUCAGGACAAAGCUGCAGAGACAAAGAAGCUGAGGGAGAAGAUAUUUCAGGACAAAGCAGCAGAGACAAAGAAGCUGAGGGAGAGGACAGUUCAGGACAAAGCAGCAGAGACAAAGAAGCUGAGGGAGAAGAUAUAUCAGGACAAAGCAGCAGAGACAAAGAAGCUGAGGGAGAAGACAGUUCAGGACAAAGCAGCAGAGACAAAGAAGCUGAGGGAGAAGAUAUAUCAGGACAAAGCAGCAGAGACAAAGAAGCUGAGGGAGAGGACAGUUCAGGACAAAGCAGCAGAGACAAAGAAGCUGAGGGAGAAGAUAUAUCAGGACAAAGCAGCAGAGACAAAGAAGCUGAGGGAGAAGAUAUUUCAGGACAAAGCAGCAGAGACAAAGAAGCUGAGGGAGAAGAUAUUUCAGGACAAAGCAGCAGAGACAAAGAAGCUGAGGGAGAAGAUAUUUCAGGACAAAGUCCAGGAGAUCAGACAAAUGAAUGUCGUGACCUGGCUGAUGAUAUAACAUAUUUGGCAGCUAAAUUCAUACCCCAGAAGAAAGUGGGUCAAGCCUUGUUAGAGGAUGGAAAUGUCCACGAAGGCAUGGCCAAAACAGAGGACUGCAGAAAGACCCUAAAAGCUGUGGAAAAAGCUUUGGAGACGAACUGGCAUACAUUUGACCUGGCAACUCACGGUCUUGGGCCUGCAGUUAUAAAAGGCACUUUUGAAUUAAUUGAUGCAUGUCUUAAAGAGAAAAUGAAA